rnacentral:rRNA from 1 species
CCAAUAGCGUAUAUUAAAGUUGUUGCAGUUAAAAAGCUCGUAGUUGAAUUUUAGGCCUGACCGGACGGUCCGUCUCUGGCGAGUACUGUUCUGCUGUCGGGUCUAUCCUUCUGGUGAGCCGGUAUGCCCUUUAUUGGGUGUGUCGGGGAACCAGGACCAUUACCUUGAAAAAAUUAGAGUGUUUAAAGCGGGCUUUUGCUUGAAUAGAUUAGCAUGGAAUAAUAGAAUAGGACGUUGGUUCUAUUUUGUUGGUCUAGGACCACCGUAAUGAUUAAUAGGGAUAGUUGGGGGCAUUAGUAUUCAAUUGUCAGAGAUGAAAUUCUUGGAUUUAUUGAAGACUAACUACUGCGAAAGCAUUUGCCAAGGAUGUUUUCAUUAAUCAAGAACGAAAGUUAGGGGAUCGAAGACGAUCAGAUACCGUCGUAGUCUUAACCAUAAACUAUGCCGACUAGGAAUCGGGCGACGUUAUUUUCAUGACUCGCUCGGCGCCUUAUG